CCUGGCUCAGGAUGAACGCUGGCGGCGUGCUUAACACAUGCAAGUCGAACGGUGAAGCCAAGCUUGCUUGGUGGAUCAGUGGCGAACGGGUGAGUAACACGUGAGCAACCUGCCCUGGACUCUGGGAUAAGCGCUGGAAACGGCGUCUAAUACUGGAUAUGAGCCUCUUCCGCAUGGUGGGGGUUGGAAAGAUUUUUUGGUCUGGGAUGGGCUCGCGGCCUAUCAGCUUGUUGGUGAGGUAAUGGCUCACCAAGGCGUCGACGGGUAGCCGGCCUGAGAGGGUGACCGGCCACACUGGGACUGAGACACGGCCCAGACUCCUACGGGAGGCAGCAGUGGGGAAUAUUGCACAAUGGGCGAAAGCCUGAUGCAGCAACGCCGCGUGAGGGAUGACGGCCUUCGGGUUGUAAACCUCUUUUAGCAGGGAAGAAGCGAAAGUGACGGUACCUGCAGAAAAAGCGCCGGCUAACUACGUGCCAGCAGCCGCGGUAAUACGUAGGGCGCAAGCGUUAUCCGGAAUUAUUGGGCGUAAAGAGCUCGUAGGCGGUUUGUCGCGUCUGCUGUGAAAUCCCGAGGCUCAACCUCGGGCCUGCAGUGGGUACGGGCAGACUAGAGUGCGGUAGGGGAGAUUGGAAUUCCUGGUGUAGCGGUGGAAUGCGCAGAUAUCAGGAGGAACACCGAUGGCGAAGGCAGAUCUCUGGGCCGUAACUGACGCUGAGGAGCGAAAGGGUGGGGAGCAAACAGGCUUAGAUACCCUGGUAGUCCACCCCGUAAACGUUGGGAACUAGUUGUGGGGACCAUUCCACGGUUUCCGUGACGCAGCUAACGCAUUAAGUUCCCCGCCUGGGGAGUACGGCCGCAAGGCUAAAACUCAAAGGAAUUGACGGGGACCCGCACAAGCGGCGGAGCAUGCGGAUUAAUUCGAUGCAACGCGAAGAACCUUACCAAGGCUUGACAUACACCAGAACGGGCCAGAAAUGGUCAACUCUUUGGACACUGGUGAACAGGUGGUGCAUGGUUGUCGUCAGCUCGUGUCGUGAGAUGUUGGGUUAAGUCCCGCA
rnacentral:rRNA from 1 species